rnacentral:rRNA from 1 species
AGCGAACGCUGGCGGCAGGCCUAACACAUGCAAGUCGAACGAAGCCUUCGGGCUUAGUGGCGGACGGGUGGGUAACACGUGGGAACGUACCUUUUGGUUCGGAACAACUCAGGGAAACUUGAGCUAAUACCGGAUGAGCCCUUAGGGGGAAAGAUUUAUCGCCGAAAGAGCGGCCCGCGUUAGAUUAGCUAGUUGGUGAGGUAAAGGCUCACCAAGGCAACGAUCUAUAGCUGGUCUGAGAGGAUGAUCAGCCACACUGGGACUGAGACACGGCCCAGACUCCUACGGGAGGCAGCAGUGGGGAAUCUUGCGCAAUGGGCGAAAGCCUGACGCAGCCAUGCCGCGUGAAUGAUGAAGGUCUUAGGAUUGUAAAAUUCUUUUACCAGGAACGAUAAUGACGGUACCUGGAGAAAAGCCCCGGCUAACUUCGUGCCAGCCGCCGCAGUAAUAC